GGGGGUAAAUUUAAUAAUUUAUAUAUAAUAAAAAAAUUUUUAAUAAAAUAAAAUAUUUUAAUGGGGGUUAAAGUAUAUUUUAGAAAAAAUUAGAAAUUUUAUAGGGAAUUAGUAUAGUAAUAGAAUAAUGAAAUAAAAUGAAAAUUUAAUUUGUUAUAAAGUAAAUUUAAUUUAUUGUAUCUUGUGUAUCAGAGUUUAUUAAUAAAAAUUUUUGGGGGAAAAUUUUUCGAAUUUAAAAGAGUUAAUUAAUUAAAAAUUUUAUUGUUACAUAAAUAUUUAAAAUAAUUAAUUAGAAAUUAAAUGUUAAUCGUUUUUAAAUAUAUCUAAUUUUUUUAGAAAUAAGUUUAAUUUAUAAUUUUAUAAAAAUUUUUAUAUAUUAAAUUUUAAAAAUUUAAUAAAAUUAAAUAUUUUAAGGGAUAAUCUUUAAAUUAAAUUUUUAUAAUUAAUAUUAAUAAAAAUAAAAUUUUUAAAAUUUAUAUUGUUUAUAAAUUAUAUUUUUUUGUAAAAAUUUUUAUUAUUAAUAAAAUUUUUAAUUAAAAUUUAAAUUUUUAUAAAAAAAUAAUUUUUAAUAAAAUAAAAUUAGUUAUAAUGAUAAAAUUAGUAUAUUUUAUUAUUAAAUAUAAUAUUUAUUAAAUUAAAAAUAAAAUAAAGGAAUUCGGCAAAAUUUUAUAUUCACCUGUUUAUCAAAAACAUGUCUUUUUGAAUAAAAUUUAAAGUUGAAUCUGCCCACUGAUGAAUAAUUAAAGGGCUGCAGUAUAUUGACUGUACAAAGGUAGCAUAAUAAUUAGUCUUUUAAUUGAAGACUUGUAUGAAAGAUUUGAUGAAAUAUAAACUGUCUCUUUUUUAUAAUUAGAAUUUAAUUUUUCAGUAAAAAAGCUGAAAUUAAUUUAAAAGACGAGAAGACCCUAUAGAGUUUUAUAAUUGAGUUAAUUAUAUAUUUGUAUUUAAUUUUAAAGUUAAUUGAUUUAAUUAUUUUAUUGGGGUGAUAGAAAAAUUAAAUUAACUUUUUUUAAAUAUUAUACAUUAAUUAAUGAUUUUAUGAUCCAUAUUAUAUGAUUAAAAGAAAAAAUUACCUUAGGGAUAACAGCGUAAUUUUUUUUUUUAGUUCUUAUAAGAAAAAAAGUUUGCGACCUCGAUGUUGGAUUAAGAUAAAAUUUAAAUGCAGAAGUUUAAAAUUUUGAUCUGUUCGAUCAUUAAAAUCUUACAUGAUCUGAGUUCAAACCGGUGUAAGCCAGGUUGGUUUCUAUCUUUAGAUAAAUAAAAUAUUUUA
rnacentral:rRNA from 1 species